UAAGUACUCCCUCCGUUCGGAAUUACUUGUCGCGGAAAUGGAUGUAUCUAGAUGUAUUUUAGUUCUAGAUAUAUCCAUUUUCAAGACAAGUAAUUCCGAACGGAGGGAGUAAUUA
rnacentral:pre_miRNA from 1 species